CAAUAAUUUUGAUUGCUGAUACUGAUAAGGACAACGCCACUGAGGACGUUGUGGUUUGUAAUAUUGUUGGGUGUUGUAUGACUGUGCUGUUUUCUUUAACUUUUGCAGAUUCUCAAGGAUAUCAUUAGUCGUCGAAAAGACUGGAACCACUGAAGGGAAACACUAUGGACUAAUGGCAGUUCGACAAUGGAAAACUCAGUGGCGGCAAAAUAGACAGAACUGUAUCUCAGUUAAAGUUGACUCUAGUUCAGGAAUCCCAUUCCAGACAUCUGUAGGAUUGAACAACUCUUCACUUCCACUUGUAAAGUUCAAAACCUUCAGUUGAAUUACCAGUGCCACCACUUUUCCACCUGGUCCAGAAGAGAAACAAUAAAUAGCAUUGCUGGAUGUCCCUGCUCACAGAGCUACAGAUUCUAAGUGACCUGACCAUGUUCCUGAACUUUUGAAUGUUACUCCAAGGUAUUUAUGAGUUGGUCUGUUUGAGGAGUUUCCUAUACAGCUGCCAUCUGUAAUUCUUUCCCCUUUUUCCAAAAACCAAAAUUUUGAUCAUUUAUUUGGAGAUGUUCCUUGACACAAUAAGCAUCUAAGGCCCUUAAUAGUCUUUGCAUCCCCACCUAGGCAUAGGACAGGAGAAUAGCAUCAUCUGCAUACAAAACUACUAAUGUAUUCCUGUCAUUUAGAUGGGGUGGGAAAAGCUGGGGGCUGGAUAGGGAGGAUAACAUAUUGUUUAGAUAAAAUUUUAUUCUGUAUCCCUGGAUUUAGCAGGGCUCAAAGCACUCACUUUACUUAAGGGCAAGUUGUAAGUACAUAUUUAUUGGGGGAGGGAGUCUCCCAUUGGGAGCCUAUUUCCAGAAAAAAAUUGCUACUAGAGAUGGGGGCAUUUGUAUUUGAAUACGCAUAUUCCCACACAGCUGGAUUUAAUGAGUGUCUGGCCCCUGGGGCCGGACUAUCCACUCAUGCGUCUGGAAGCAGUCUUGCUCAUCCUUCCAAUCGCUCCCAGAUGCCACUCUCUUCCCACUUGUCUAGUCACUCCAAGCAGACGAGAGGGGAGAGCAGCACUCUGGGAGUGACUGGAAAGAUGAAUGGGGCUGCCGCCGGAUGCAUAAACAGAACAGCUAUGCAGGGAUAUUCGUAUCUGUAUACCCGCAUCUCUAAUAGCUGCCACCAGACUAAUCAGGUCAAACCCAACAGAAACUAAUGGGGAGAGGGAAAAACAGGAAGAUACAGGGGUAUGUUGUGCAUUAUGUACAUUCCAGAAUACAGUGGUGCCUUGCUUGACGACGUUAAUUCGUUCCAGCA